rnacentral:lncRNA from 1 species
GUCACCACAUUCACUGCUAUCUACUCUCUACUCCUGGACCCAAUGGAGCGCGCUGCGGAACUUUUUCAUUUCACCACCGGCCCUCGCAAAGCCCGAGAUCCUGAAGAGGCAAUUGCCAGGUACAGAAAGGUGCUGAAACACGUUCAAAGAGGGAAAACCAUGACUGCUGCUUUCCUGAAGGAGGCUGUGGAUCACAACACUAUUGAGUUCAACUCUCCAGUUGCCUAACUGGCAAUCGCUGCGCCUGACCAACUGACCACUUCAAAGACUUAUGAAAAAUGUACACUCGCAAUUAAAAAUGCUGUGUUUUUGCAAGCAAGUGGAAUAAUGUAAUUGAGAGUGAUUUGCGUGAAGGGCAAAAUAAAGAUUUUGAAAAAAACAGGAGAAUUUCCCAUGAAGAAGGGCAAGUGAAAUGUUAGCAAGUGAAAUGUUGUUGAGAUUUUGUUAUUAUUGAGACGAUCUGUACAGGCUGAUUUUCUUCCAAGGUUUUCCUCAUCAAGAAAUGUGACAUACUGUACUUCAUUUUCUAGUUUGAAUACACCAGCCCUGGCUCUCUCUCUCUCUCUCACUCUCUUUUUCUCU